GCCUAACACAUGCAAGUCGAACGAAGUAGCAAUACUUAGUGGCAGCCGGGUGAGUAACAUGUAGGUAUCUGCCCUUUGGCCUGUGUCCACACGAGGAAACUUGUGCUAAUACCGGAUAAGUCUUUACGGAGAAAGCUUUAUGCACCAUUGGAUGAGCCUGCACUUGAUUAGUUUGUUGGUAGGGUAAUGGCCUACCAAGACUUUGAUCAAUAGCUGAUUUGAGAGGAUGAUCAGCCACAUUGGGACUGAGACACGGCCCAAACUCCUACGGGAGGCAGCAGUGGGGAAUCUUGCACAAUGGAGGAAACUCUGAUGCAGCGAUGCCGCGUGAGUGAAGAAGGCCCUUGGGUUGUAAAGCUCUUUCGUCGGGGAAGAAAAUGACUGUACCCGAAUAAGAAGGUCCGGCUAACUUCGUGCCAGCAGCCGCGGUAAUACGAAGGGACCUAGCGUAGUUCGGAAUUACUGGGCUUAAAGAGUUCGUAGGUGGUUGAAAAAGUUGGUGGUGAAAUCCCAGAGCUUAACUCUGGAACUGCCAUCAAAACUUUUCAGCUAGAGUUUGAUAGAGGAAAGCAGAAUUUCUAGUGUAGAGGUGAAAUUCGUAGAUAUUAGAAAGAAUACCAAUUGCGAAGGCAGCUUUCUGGAUCAUUACUGACACUGAGGAACGAAAGCAUGGGUAGCGAAGAGGAUUAGAUACCCUCCGUAGUCCAUGCCCGGAAACGAUGUGUGUUAGACGUUGGAAAUUUAUUUUCAG
rnacentral:rRNA from 1 species